GUCCCUGUAGCUCAGCAGGACAGAGCAACGGCCUUCUAAGCCGUGGGUCGGGGGUUCGAAUCCCUCCGGGGACGCCA
rnacentral:tRNA from 1 species